ACGGAGGGUGCAAGCGUUAUUCGGAAUUACUGGGCGUAAAGGGUGUGUAGGCGGGAGAGCAAGCCUGACGUGAAAGCCCGGGGCUCAACCCCGGAAGGGCAUUUGAAACUGCUUUACUUGAGUUCUGGAGAGGAAGGGAGAAUUCCCGGUGUAGGGGUGAAAUUCGUAGAGAUCGGGAGGAACACCGGUGGCGAAGGCGGCCUUCUGGACAGCAACUGACGCUGAGGCACGAAAGCGUGGGGAGCAAACAG
rnacentral:rRNA from 1 species